CGCGUAGGCGGCCAUGUAAGUCGCGUGUGAAAGGCCGGGGCUCAACCCCGUGUAUGGCACGCGAUACUGUGUGGCUAGAGACAGGUAGGGGCGAGCGGAAUUCCCGGUGUAGCGGUGGAAUGCGUAGAUAUCGGGAAGAACACCCGUGGCGAAGGCGGCUCGCUGGGCCUGUUCUGACGCUGAAGCGCGAAAGCGUGGGGAGCAAACA
rnacentral:rRNA from 1 species